CAUGCAAGUCGACGGGCUUAGGGGCUUGCUCCUAAGUUAGUGGCGAACGGGUGAGUAAUAUAUCGGAACAUGUCCGGAAGUGGGGGAUAACGUAGCGAAAGUUACGCUAAUACCGCAUAUGCCCUGAGGGGGAAAGGGGGGGAUCGCAAGACCUCUCGCUUUCGGAGUGGCCGAUACCGGAUUAGCUAGUAGGUGAGGUAAAGGCUCACCUAGGCGACGAUCCGUAGCUGGUCUGAGAGGACGACCAGCCACACUGGAACUGAGACACGGUCCAGACUCCUACGGGAGGCAGCAGUGGGGAAUUUUGGACAAUGGGCGAAAGCCUGAUCCAGCCAUACCGCGUGAGUGAAGAAGGCCUUCGGGUUGUAAAGCUCUUUCAGCCGGAAAGAAAUCGCGUUGGUUAAUAUCCAGCGUGGAUGACGGUACCGGAAGAAGAAGCACCGGCUAACUACGUGCCAGCAGCCGCGGUAAUACGUAGGGUGCGAGCGUUAAUCGGAAUUACUGGGCGUAAAGCGUGCGCAGGCGGUUUGAUAAGCCAGAUGUGAAAUCCCCGGGCUUAACCUGGGAACUGCAUUUGGAACUGUCAGACUAGAGUAUAGCAGAGGGGGGUAGAAUUCCACGUGUAGCAGUGAAAUGCGUAGAGAUGUGGAGGAAUACCAAUGGCGAAAGGCAGCCCCCUGGGUUAAUACUGACGCUCAUGCACGAAAGCGUGGGGAGCAAACAGGAUUAGAUACCCUGGUAGUCCACGCCCUAAACGAUGUCACUACGUGUUGGGGAAGGAGACUUCUUUAGUACCGCAGCUAAC
rnacentral:rRNA from 1 species